rnacentral:lncRNA from 1 species
GCACAGUCACUUCACUUUCGUUUACUAGGAUUCCCUCGCGAUCCGCAGCAGAGUUCCUCACACUGCGCACCACCCGCGGGGUCUGUCCCACAGACCUUGGCUGAUGGAUGAAAUGAGUACUCAAAGACACAGGGGGAGGCAUUGCAGAGAGACCCCUUUCAAAGCACACAGGAAGUGGCUGAAGUCAAUAAAGAAACAGAAGAACAAUUUGAAUGAAGAUGGAUCAAAAAGAAGACAGACAUUUCUAAAAAGCCAUCUUUAAAU